rnacentral:rRNA from 1 species
CGGGCUCGAAAUGUAGAGGACGUUAACAGAAAUGUUAAUUCCCGAAAGGGUCUCUAUAUAGGUGCUGCAUGGCUGUCGUCAGCUCGUGCCGUGAGGUGUUUGGUUAAGUCCAGCAACGAGCGCAACCCUUAUUGUCAGUUGCCAACGCGUAAAGGCGGGGACUCUGGCAAGACUGCCUAGGUUAACUAGGAGGAAGGUGAGGAUGACGUCAAGUCCGCAUGGCCUUUAUGUCCGGGGCUACACACGUGCUACAAUGGUCGGUACAGAAGGCAGCGAAACCGCGAGGUGGAGCUAAUCCGUAAAGCCGACCUCAGUUCAGAUUGCAGACUGCAACUCGUCUGCAUGAAGUUGGAAUUGCUAGUAAUGACGUGUCAGCAACAGCGUCGUGAAUACGUUCCCGGGCCUUGUACACACCGCCCGUCACAUCAUGGGAGUUGGUUUUACCCGAAGUCACUGACUUAACCGCAAGGGGAGAGGUGCCUAAGGUAAGGCCGAUGGCUGGGAUGAAGUCGUAACAAGGUAGCCGUAA